rnacentral:misc_RNA from 1 species
UGAGAGAACUGCUUUGACUGU